UAAAUAAGUCCAUUUGUAUCAUUUUUUUAGAUUCCAUAUAAAAGUGAUAUCAUAUAUUUGUCUUUCUCUGUCUGAAAAGACGUGUAAUCUUAACAGUUCCCUGCUACACAUUACCCAAAGCCCUCUCCCCAAAGGCAUAUAGUCUCAGGUAUUUCCUCUCAUAUUUGCUUCCAUAAUUCUAAAUAAUGUGCUUUUCUCCCCCUGCAGUUUGAUUUUUUAAAUCAUGAUCAUCUUAAUUACAUACGGUAUAUAAUAAUAUACAUUGUAAAUUAUUAAAAUCAUUUGUAACCAUAACUAUUAUCUGUUGGCUCUCAAACAGGGAAAAGAAGCUUUCACACCAUAUGUACAGCAGGGGAAUUCCCUAGUGGUCCAGUGGUUAAGACGCUGUGCUUCAAACGCAGGGGGUCUGGGUUCAAUCCCUGGUCGGGGAACUAGGGUCCCAUAUGUGAUUUUUGGGGCAGCCAAAAAUCACACUUAAGCAAUUUCCAUAUAGUGUUUUAGAAUUUACAAGUGAGUUUGCACAGGCAUGGGUUCAUAUGAUCCUUGCAGAAGUUUUGAGAGGGAUGUCAUUAGGGUCAUUCUCAUUUAAAAGAUAGGAAAUUGGAACACAGGUAAGUGACAUGCCCAAGAUCACAUGACUGUAAAAUACCAGAGACAGGCCUAGACUCCAGAAUGUUCGCUCUUAUUAGGCUGCUGUUUUUAAAUUUGCUUCGAGAGCUGAGGGGACUAUUCUGCUUAGAUCCCCUUCUGGCAAAAACUCCUUUAAGGCCCCAUUCCCGCGGCGCGUUCUUCCUGAAACCUUUGCUAACCCUCCCAGGCAGGUCUUUUCUCUGAGCUUCCCCGGGAGUUUGUUGGUGCUUCCAUCUUGGCACUCAACACAGUGACCCAUUAGUUGUCCUUUUCACACUGCCCUAGGCAGCUUCUCCCUCUUCUUUCUGUCCCCAGACCCCAGCAGGUCAUCAGGUGGAAGGUGUGGCAUCUCUGUACCGGCACCUGUGCUAAGCGGCCGGGUACACAGACGACCAGGACAGAACACAUCCCCUGGCUUCCAAGCCUCGGGUUUGGUAAAUUCGUGAAUGUGUGAUGCUACUCUCUGAAAUGGACAGAGGAGCAACGAUUUCAGGAGGAUAGCUACACAGAGAGCAACGUCCUCUCAGAUUCGGCUCCUUUGCACCUGAAAACUUAAAACAUUAGCCAAGUCAGAUUGCAAGAGACACACGUGCCAGACAAACUAGAUUCACAAGAUAAUGAAGAUCAUGGGAGUGGAAUUAACAAAAGAGGGGGCCAGUAAAGGUCUGUUCUUAUAAGAACAAAGGCGGAAAAUAAUUUUUGGUGAAUGGGAGUGAUUUAUAAGUAAGGCCACCUGGAGAAGUUUACAUUAAUCGAGGUGGGAAAUGUUAAAUGUAUGGAUGGUUAUUUUAUCUGGAAGAAUAUUGAGUAGCUUUAAUAAUGGAGAAAAUAUCGUUGGCUUUCUAGGUGGUCAAGGAGAAAGUCGGAGAGGAACAAUUGAACGUGAUAAGCUUAGUGGCAAUAUGAUAAAGAAAAAGGAAUUUAGGAAUAAUUCUUGCCCAAAGUUGUUCAUAAAAUUGGUGGAAAGAAUCUCAUCAGAGUCUACCUGGUUCUAAAAUAUAUCCUUCCUCUCUUCUGUGUGGCAUCCUGCAAUUCUUCUUUGAUGAGAAAGGAUGCAAGGUUGUCAACAUGUCAAAUUCAGCAAGGUCAUCAAUGUGAAAAUGAAUGAUGAUAAUGUCCAGAAAAAGCUAGCUGAAUACACUCUAUGAGAAAAGCAUCAUCCUCGUUAUUAUCGUCAUUGAUAACAAACAUUAGCCAUUCCCCCGAAAAGCCACCCAACUUUUAUUAAUGACAUUGAGUUGUGAAAAUUCCUCAAACAUGGCAAGUCAAUGACCACUUUGGAUUCAAAAUAUGGGCUUAAUAAGGAGAACAGCAAAAGGAAACAACUCUUGUAGCUUUGAUGCAAAGCGUACAUUAAAAAGUAAUUUAUUUAAAAAAAGAGGGGACUACUGAAUGAACUUCAGGAUGAAAUAAUGAAUGUUAAAUUAGGCUUUUUAAAUCUCAGAGGAAGUCGCAGAGUAAUAAAACAACAUACCAUA